GUUCAGGUGCUGGAUACGGUACAGAACGGCGGCUGGUAUCUGCCGAACGGCCUGUUCCUGCUGGCCCCAAGCGC
rnacentral:tRNA from 1 species